rnacentral:rRNA from 1 species
UGGGGAAUUUUGGACAAUGGGGGAAACCCUGAUCCAGCCAUGCCGCGUGCGGGAAGAAGGCCUUCGGGUUGUAAACCGCUUUUGUCGAGGAAGAAAUCCUCUGGGCUAAUACCCUGGGGGGAUGACGGUACUCGAAGAAUAAGCACCGGCUAACUACGUGCCAGCAGCCGCGGUAAUACGUAGGGUGCAAGCGUUAAUCGGAAUUACUGGGCGUAAAGCGUGCGCAGGCGGUCGUGCAAGACAGAUGUGAAAUCCCCGGGCUUAACCUGGGAACUGCAUUUGUGACUGCCCGACUGGAGUACGGCAGAGGGGGAUGGAAUUCCGCGUGUAGCAGUGAAAUGCGUAGAUAUGCGGAGGAACACCGAUGGCGAAGGCAGUCCCCUGGGCCUGUACUGACGCUCAUGCACGAAAGCGUGGGGAGCAAACAGG